rnacentral:antisense_RNA from 1 species
CUUUAACGGCCGGUCAGGAACCCAACAAUUAGUCCCUUCUCGUCCGAGAGGAAACUCUGUGAGAAGAUGGGGCCGUGAGCACUCUCUUUAACAAGGACAUUUCCUUUUCAGCGAAAGCACCGCUCUGAUUUACCAAGUCUGGCGGACCGCACCGCUUUAAAGGAAUGAGGUUCCAGCGGCCGCGCCAAGCAGCGUACGCAGCCUAUUUUAAGUUAUGCUACCUUCGCCACAGAAACCAAGAGGGUUGUAAUGGUCCGGCAAGUGCCCACGUGUAACUGUUCUCCAUCACUUACCCACUCUAGUUCGGGAACACCCUUGUCGCCGCCGUUCCGGUAAUAACCUCUCCAACGCUUUCGAUGCUUCUACUUCUUCGGGAACAAGACAAGAUGGCGCCCGAUUUGUCUCACCCGGAAGUAAAGAAUAAUAACAUCCGUUCGUCAUCUGAAGCCAUACCAUCUCUCAUCCAGGUUUGUGAACACGUGAUUGUGCGGAUUGACAUGUUUCGGCGCCAUUUUUUUUGUGGGCAAAACUAUUUCUACUCUGGUCAACACCGGGCAACUGAACCAUUCCUGCACAUUACAUUUUAAUGUAGCUGGCGCCAUUCCCGACCCAUCUUUAUAGUGGCCAGAAAGCCAAAAACGUAAGUGUUCUACACUUAGGGCGCCUUCAAAUUUUUUACUUUAGCAACGUGAUCUUCCUUUAAGGGGAAGUAUGUUCUCUCCUAGAAACACUCCCGCCUUGGAGAAGGGGUUGAGUUCGCAACUCCACUUACAGACUACGGAGGAACCCCAGGGUCAAACCAAACCAAACCAAUUCUGGCCAGUUGCUUAGCGCAUUUCAAGUUGCUUAGUGCGCUGGAAGCGGCAUUUCAGGCAGUCCAACUUCUGGCUCGAACCUUCUCAGAGUAUUCCAAGGAUGGAAUACUCUCACUUGAGCGCUGCUGAGGGUUCCGCUUGAGGGAAACAUGAGUUUGUGAAGAAUGUUUAUUGCAGAUACAGUUCCACCACUGUACAUUAAGUAUGUGGAAAACAGAACAUAUCCUUUUGGUUCCUGGGUCUCCAUAACAGUAGGAGCAAACAUCCAAAUCUGAUACAGCACUUCCAGAGAGCCUGGUCUUGGAGGAUAAAACUUUACCUUGAUGGGACUUUUGGGCCCUGUCCCUUAAGAGUUGGGAUUUGGGGUUGUACUGCAGCACAACUCAGCCUAUCCUAAUACAUAUAGGAAUGCAAACAUCUCAGAUAUUUCUUCUUGGGUGCAAUUUAAAAUACGUAUGAAAUGGCUUCAGAAGUGUCCGUGAGCCUUCAAAAUUACAUACAAGAAUUAGGGAGAUACAUUUUUCUGGGAACAUACAGAUGUUAAGACUUCCCUUCUCAGUCUCUAUAUUGCCAGAAGAGAGGGCCCCAGAAUUAAAACCCCAUCCUUCCUACAACGCUCAGCUUUCUCUCUCGGGAAUAUCAGUACUAAUAUCACCAUGCCUUUUAUCUCUAGGAUAUAUUCAUCCCCUGUACCUUAAUUUCUGCAUGACUUCAUAGGGAGUCCAUAUUGCUUGAUUUUUCUCCAUAUCAUUACCAUUAACAUAAAUUUUCCUUACAUUCUUAGAAUGUGUAUUUCCUCACCUCUUAGAUUUCUGGCUCUUAUG